CAGUCUUCAUUGUAGAGUGACCAAUCACAAUGUAGUGUGCAUUGUAGCUUAUGUUGUAGUCAUGUAGAUAAUAGUGUGAUGUAAUUUGUGUUAAAUCAGCCACCAGGCACCCUAAAUAACAGUCACUUUCCAGCUAAACCAGAUAACAUCUCUCGUGUCAGGCAUCUCAAAUGAUUCAUAAUGUGACUACAUGUCUCGUGGUUCUGGUUUGGACGUGCUGCGGUAAACCUCCCCUAUAUAGACUCUUUCUCCCUCCAUAGUUUGGAUUCCAACGUCCCCGGCUGUAGCUUUAAAGUCAAGGACGUGGAGGGGAUGUUUAGCAUCAUUACAGCCGUCUACAAUGAGAGGCUGCAGUAGUGCUGGCUCGGAUGGGUGGGUGGAUGAGGACGGACAGAUCAUGGGUGGAUGGGCAGGGGAGGAUUGGUGGAUGCAUGUGGACAGAUAAACGGGUGCCGGUGGUGGGUGGAUGUGGAUAGACAGAAGCCCGAUCAAGUUUCUAAAUAUCAGCCAACCACCCUAAGCACUUCCUACACCCGCAGGAAGUGGCUGGUAGAGAGCAGCGCACCAAUCAUGGAACACUCCUCCACCUAGCUGAAUCCUUGUUGCCUAGCGACUGUCCUGGCUGUCACUCAACCUCCUGAAGGCCGGAAAAGCCCCAAAAAAAGUUUUGCGGUGGUGUCAGUUUGCACACUCAUUCUACUGCUCCUUCUCAGGGAACUGUCGAAAUAUAACUGAAGAGUUAGAAAAGUCGAAAAUAAACGAAAGCCCUUAAAUCUACUCCCACACACAUGAUAUUAUGAUACUACUAUAAUCCUCUGUCUGUAUGUUAUGAUGAGCUACAUCCUACUCACCUCUGUCAUCCUACUCUCCUCCAGAUGUGCAAUCUAGUCUGUAAUCUGGAUUGAGGCUAUAAUCCCUACUGAGGCUAUAAUCCGGAUUGAGGCUGUAAUCUGUACUGAGGCUGUUAUCUGGAUGAGGCUGUAAUCUAUACUGAGGUUGUUAUCUGAAUUGAGGCUGUUUUCUUUACUGAGGCCGAAAUCUGGAAUGAGGCUGUAAUCUGGAUUGAGGCUGUAAUCUGGAUUGAGGCUGUAAUCUGGAUUGAGGCUGUAAUCUGGAUUGAGGCUGUUAUCUGGAUGAGGCUGUAAUCUAUACUGAGGCUGUAAUCUGGAUUGAGGCUGUAAUCUGUACUGAGGCUGUAAUCUGGAUCAAUGAUGUAAUCUGGAUUGAGGCUGUAAUCUGUACUGAGGCUGUAAUAUGGAUUGAUGGUGUAAUCUGGAUUGAGGCUGUAAUCUGUACUGAGGCUGUAAUAUAGAUUGAUGCUGUAAUCCUGAUUGAGGCUGUAAUCUGUACUGAGGCUGUAAAAUGUACCGAGGCUAUAAUCUGCACGGAGGCUGUAAUCUGCACGUUUAUCUCCUGCCAGACCCAGGUCUAUGAGGUCUAUGUUGUCAUGCUGUCUCUGUUCUGUAGGGGGCAGCAAAGAUCUCUGAUACCUUCCAUUCAGAAGGCAUCCUUGAAUGACAUGUAUCACUGCUUGUUACUACACAAGGACAUCAUCUCCCUCACCUCACCAGAACCUAGCGUCAGCAGAACCUAGCGUCAGCAGAACCUCACCUCACCUCAGCAGAACCUCCUUAACUCGCCAGAAACUCAUCUCACCAGAACCUCAUCUCCUCAGAACCUACCUCUUCAUAACAGACUUGCCUCACCUCACUAAAGCCUCACCAUACCAGAACAUCUCCUCACCUCUACAGAACCUCACUACAACAGAACCUCACUUUACCAGAACCUACUCUCACCGGAACCUCCACCCUGACCAAGUGAGCUGCGGCAGCAGUAUUAUAGCAUGUGUGUCCGGACACUAGGACCCAGGAGCUGGUUUUGUGUUCCACUGGAAACCCGUGUCAUUCAUUGAGUCAAACCAACAAGACUCACUUCUAAACUAAAUUUGCGAACCAGAGAUAAACGGAUCUGCUGUGAUCUCUGAGUGAAAAGUUUCCAUGGUGUUUUGCCUGAAUGUUCCGGAGAUAUUCCUGGACCAUGGCUGUGUGUGGACAUAAAGGGAACUUUGUGUCGCACUGUGGACACACCGCAUUAGGGAGAAAUAUUAAAUUUGGAGGAAAU
ensembl:lncRNA